rnacentral:rRNA from 1 species
CAGCCGCCGCGGUAAUACCGGCGGCCCGAGUGGCGGUCACUAUUAUUGGGCUUAAAGCGUCCGUAGCCGGGUUGGGAAGUCCUCCGGGAAAUCUGGCCGCUUAACGGUCAGAAUGCCGGAGGAUACUCCCAGCCUAGGGAGCGGGAGAGGCCGAGGGGAUUCCCGGAGGAGGGGGGGAAUCCUAUAAUCCCGGGAGGACCACCUGUGGCGAAGGCGCUCGGCUGGAACGCGUCCGACGGGGAGGGACGAAGGCCAGGGGAGCAAACCGGAUUAGAUACCCGGGUAGUCCUGGCUGUAAACGAUGCGGACUUUGUGUCGGACAAGCUAUGAGCUUGUCCGGUGCCGGAGGGAAACCGUUAAGUCCGCCGCCUGGGGAGUACGGCCGCAAGGCUGAAACUUAAAGGAAUUGGCGGG